AAUUCUCAACUCUUUAAAUUGCUGUAAUGGUGAUUUUGAAGACGUUGGAUGUGGAGGCUUUUGCUGGCUUUUCAUUAAGUCAGCUCCUCUUAAAUGCAUUAGUGGUUACUGUUCUUUUCCACUUUGGUGUGAUAGUCUAUCUACGCCUAUAAGUGAAAGAUGUUAAGUGUAGCUGCUUUCAAACCGUCUGGACUUUACUGGACAAUUUUGAACU
rnacentral:misc_RNA from 1 species